rnacentral:snoRNA from 1 species
AGGCUAUGAUGAGAAAAGUCAUGCACCACUCUGAAGAGAUUUCUCUUUGUGCUGAUAAACAAACUUACAACCCAUUUUACAUCUGAGCCG